AACAUGUCUUUUUGAUAAUAAUUUAAAGUCUAACCUGCCCACUGAUAAUUUUUGAAGGGCCGCGGUAUAUUGACUGUGCAAAGGUAGCAUAAUCAUUAGUCUUUUAAUUGAAGGCUUGUAUGAAUGGUUGGAUGAGGUAUUAACUGUCUCAAUUUAAUAAAUAAUAGAAUUUUAUUUUUAAGUUAAAAAGCUUAAAUAAUUUUAAAAGACGAGAAGACCCUAUAGAUCUUUAUAUUAAGAUUUUUAAUAAUUUUUUGGUUAAAAUUUAUUUUUAUAAGUUAAAAUAUUGAGUUGGGGUGAUUUAAAAAUUUAAUAAACUUUUUUUUUGUUUUAACAGUAAUUUUUGAAUAAUUGAUCCAUUUUUUGUGAUUAUAAGAUUAAGUUACCUUAGGGAUAACAGCGUAAUUUUUUUGGAGAGUUCUUAUCGAUAAGAGAGAUUGCGACCUCGAUGUUGAAUUAAAGGUUAAUUUUAGGUGUAGAAGUUUAAAAUUUUGGUC
rnacentral:rRNA from 1 species